CCUACGUGUGGCAGCAGUGGGGAAUAUUGGGCAAUGGGCGCAAGCCUGACCCAGCAAUGCCGCGUGAAGGAAGAAGGCUUUCGGGUUGUAAACUUCUUUGACAGGGGAAGAGCAGAAGACGGUACCCUGAAAACAAGCCACGGCUAACUACGUUCCAGCAGCCGAGGUAAUACGUAGGUGGCAAGCGUUUUCCGGAUUUACUGGGUGUAAAGGGCGUGUAGCCGGGAAGGCAAGUCAGAUGUGAAAUCAUGAGGCUCAACCUCCGAAUUGCAUUUGAAACUGUUUUUCUUGAGUACUGGAGAGGCAGACGGAAGUCCUGGUGUAGCGGUGAAAUGCGUAGAUAUAAGGAGGAACACCAGUGGCGAAGGCGGUCUGCUGGAAAGCAACUGACGGUGAGGCGAGAAAGCGUGGGGAGCAAACAGGAUUAGAUACCCGGGUAGUA
rnacentral:rRNA from 1 species